rnacentral:lncRNA from 1 species
AAAGAAAAACACGGAGCCUAAAUCAUCCUCCAAUUUUGGAAUCAGUUUUUCACUGUUUAUUCAUGAAGCACUUCCAGUGAAUCACCCACAGUGACUAUUGAAAUGAGAGAAAGUUCAAGAUGGAGUGCAACACAAACUCUGGGCAUAAGGCAAACACAUGGAGGGCAGUGAAACAGCGAGAAGAGCAGAGGAUCAAGGGGACACAACCUGAGCAGAAGGACUGCUUAAGGAAAUCUUUGAAGAUAAAUGCAAUUUACUGUGACACAUAUAAAGUAUAUGAUCAUCUCAAUAGAGGCAGAAAAGAUGAAUGGUGAAAUAAUACUUGUCAGACCCCCACCCAGACAGAGAAGAAAAACUCCCAAGCAAAGCUGCUGACCGCAGCUGCAGAGAUACAGAUAACAGGGAGCCAGAGCUUGCAAAAGGAGAAGAACAAGCCUCCACCCUUGGCAGCCGCACCUACAAGAUAUGGAUGUCACCGAGACUCCCAACUCCCCCGGACCCAGACAAAAAUUUCCCACUCCUUCCUGCCAUACCUCUGCCCUAUCCAAACGUCCCUAUAAAACCUUCCCUCCACCCGUCACUCGGGGACACUGGUCUUACUGCCGUUGGCCCUCCUGCACCUGGGCUUGAAUAAACUUUGCUUAUUGCUUCAACGUCACUUGACUUGGGCCCGGUUGUGCCCCAGUUUACUCUGACAAUACUUUCCCUCUAAAUUCAGGAAUAAUGCAAGGCUGUCUAUUCUCACUUCUAUUCAAGAUUGCGCUGGAGUUUCUGGCCAUGGAAUAUGGCAAAUUAAAAAUACUGAGAAGGAAGAAUUUAGUUUUCCAAAACUGAUGUGAUC